rnacentral:rRNA from 1 species
UACAGAGGGGGCAAGCGUUAUUCGGAAUUAUUGGGCGUAAAGGGCGCGUAGGCGGCCUGGCAAGUGGAAGGUGAAAUCCCUCGGCUUAACCGAGGAACUGCCCUCCAAACUGCUUGGCUUGAGUCCGGGAGAGGUGAGUGGAAUUCCCAGUGUAGCGGUGAAAUGCGUAGAUAUUGGGAGGAACACCGGUGGCGAAGGCGGCGUCCUGGACCAACACUGACACUGAUGAGCGAAAGCCAGGGGAGCAAACGGG